rnacentral:lncRNA from 10 species
UUUCUAUGGCUGGGGAUAGGGAGAAUUUCCCUUUAGGAGUUGAGGGGCCAGCAACUUAGUCUCUCAGUCAGUGGAGACAGGGUGGGAGGGUGAGUAGCAGGUAAGAGCCUACCUGGCAAUUAUGGAGGGAUAAAAAUAUCCAGAUCAAGGGAGUGUCCCCAGCAUGCAUUCAGCUUCCCUUCUUGGAUGAUACCCCUGAAAAAUCUGAGAAGCUGUAGGAUAGUCAAAUGUGACCUUCCAAAAGUUGCUGAUACCAGUCAAAUUGAUACCAAACACUAAUCUAAAGACUCAUAAAUGUGUGUCGCUGAAUUCAUUCAAAGGUCCUGGUCAGUUAUUUAAAACCUUCCUGUGAUUAAUAGACUUAAACCUUACCAACGAGAGUGAGAGAGAGAGAGACAGAGAGAGAGAGAGAGAGAGAGAGAGAGACUGUGUGUGUGAGAGAGAAAACCAUGCAAAAAUUGUCUUUGAUGACUAAAAUUAACAGAAUAAACUCAUAGGAUAAGUCAAAUCAUCUUCUCAGACUAUGGUUUUUUUUUUUUUUGAAGUGAAAAAAAAAACUCUUCAAAAACUUCUCCUAGAGCAAGAAAAACUUCCAAAAUCUGAGAGAAAUGACAGGUAUUUUAAGACUAAAGUUUGAUUAGAAAUGUGAUAAGAUAAAGGUAGUUCUCAGGAACAAUGGAGGAAAUUUGAAAAUACUCCCUCUGAACUCCAGAAAUAGAAAUGCAAAUCUGAAACUGUCGCUGAAUGAUUUAAAGAAGUUGAACAAACUUAACAUAAUCAUAUUGCAGAUCAGGCGAUUCUGAGGUGAAAUUAAGGAUGAAAAUCAUAUGAAAGAGGAAAAGGUCAGAGAAAAGAAGCAAGAGUAGGGAAAUAAAAGGCAAAAGAAAAUCACAGAAAGAGGCAGAACAAAGGCCAUCUUCACUUUGCACUUAACUCAGCUUCCUUUGCAACUCUGUCAGUGGAAGACAAGUUGGGGUAGACAGGGUACAAGGACAGCAUGGAAGAAAGAAAAAAAUGCAUCCCAUUUUUUGUUAUUUUCUCAACAGUCUCUGAAAGAAAAGAAAAAGAAGUGUAGCUCUCUGUAUCCGACAAAAUGGCGCAUAAUCAUCUGUGAAAAUUGGAGGCCCUCAGAGAUGCUGGAAGGAGUUGUCAGAUACUGCGUCUUCUCUUUCUAUGUACUCUGUCCUUUAUUUUGACUAAACAUGAUUACCAGCAAUUUUGAUGAAGAAAUAAAUGAUGUGCUCAUCAAAUUUUCCCAUGAUAUGCUGGAUGAGAGGGCAGAAACAAUAUGUUUGAGAAUUGUGAUUCAUCUCCAGAGCACCUCCAGGAACUAACAAUGGGAUAUACAAUAGGAAAGAAAAUGUCAAAGCCUGCAUUUUGGCAAAACAAUAAAAUCAACAGGACAAACCCAGAAUUAUAGAAACUUCACUUAAAAAUCAUAUUCAUCAAAGAAAAGACAUUGUUAAUUAUCCAGAAAAAUAUGCUGCAUUAACAUAAGUAGAAUAUUUUGAUGUCAGAAGGGGAUAUUCUUGUGUCACAUCUGGACAGCUGCAUUGAAUAAGCUGCAUUGAAUUCUGUGUUUAAUUAUUUAGCUUAGUAAAUACAGAGUUAAGCUUUAGUAUAAUAUGAUAGCUAGAAAGAGAAGCUCCCAACCCUGGCUGCCUUUCAAAAUUACCUCUGAAACUUUCCAAAAUUAAUAUGAUAGAGCUCUGCCCUAAGAGAUUUUACUAGUAGGUCUGGGAUAUAUACUAAACAGCUGUAUUGUUUUUAUGUGGGUGCAUAGCCAAGACUAAGAACCACUGGUAGAGUGGGAAGAGUUUGCUGUCCAAGAAACCUAGAUAGAAAUACAAAAUUAAUUACCUUGGCCUUUCACAAUAAUACUAAUUAUAAGAAGUACCAAAUAUUGCAUAAUUUCAAUGACUUAAGUGGUUUACAUAUAUUAUUGCAUUAAUCCUUAUAAUAAUCCUCUUUUAUAAUGAUAGACUGUCAGUGAUGUAAAGUUAUUUUGCCCAAAUAGCAUAUGUAAUAAGUGGCUUCCUUGGUUUCAAAGAUACUUCUCUCAUUUCAAUCAUUAUAUUAUAUUAUUAAAAAGUUACUUGUUGAUGAACUGGGAUGAUGAAGGGAAUCACAGUUUUAAGACACAUUGCUAGCAGGCUUGGAGUAGAAACAGCCAGCCAGUGGGUUGGAAAGGACACUGGAGUCUUGCAGGGCACUGGUAGUCAGUAGUCACACUGCAGCCACAGAGCUGUGGUGGGAGUAGCAUGUGAGCACAGAGCUGAGGAGGACCUCCCAGCUGCAAAAUGGCACCAGCUUCUCCUUGAGGCAGAAGUCUCCUUAGAAAAAAGAAAAAUGUAAAGGAAAACCCUUUUCUCAUUUUGUCUAUUCUGGGCACCAGAAUAUAAACAGAAAUCACCAGCUAGAAUUAUAUGUUGGGGUAUCCAGUUCUUUCUAAGGGUCUAGUCUUUACAACUAAAGAAGGUGAGUGGUUUCAGCCUGGGGUUUUCUUUUGUGUGUCUCAAGUUGAUCUGGCCCUAUGUCACUUGUGCUGGUAUAUCUGUUUCUUACUUUAUGGUCCAUGCUGUUAAUUAAAAGAAUUUCUUCUGCUUAGUAACACUGGGUGUGUGUGUGCACCCACACACGUGCAUGUAUGCAUGGCCAAUACUGCAUGCCCUCAUCUAAACUGAGGGCUUACUCUACUAUUUCUUUGUAAACGGUUAUAACCAUGAAAACAAUUUUUUACAAAGCAUUUUGUGUGAAAGGAUUUGUCCUGAGCUGAAGACAGUUCCCUCUAUGGCAGCACAGCAUUCUUCAAAUCAUGGAAACAAGAACUCAAUUUACCUUUGUGAAAACUAGACUGGCCUGAUAGUAAUUGCAUUGCUCUCAGAGCCAGAAUGAGACUGGAAGUGAUGGUGGGUUGACAGCAGUUCUAAACAACAUUUUUAGUCACUACAAGACAGACUCAGAAACAUGUUGUUGCAGUGGGGAUGGCUCAUUGGCUCAUUUCAAUUUGUUAUCACAGGACUAGUAAAGAAGGAAGAACCUGUAGGGGUUUCUUAUAUACUUAUUUAAUAUUCAAAUAGAUAUUCACUCCAUAAAGACAUAGUCUAACUUGCCAGGACCAAGAAAUUAUAAGCUUCAAUUUGAGCCAAUAAAUUUUGGAAUCUUGAUUAUAACUAGAAUCUUGAUUUUUCUGCUUUAUAUAUGACCCAGGAAAUAAAAGUUACAUAAAUAAGCCAUAAAAAGCACACCAAAAACAUAUUCCUUUUCUUCAAAGAGCUUUUAUUCUAGAUAUAUUUCAUUUUGGAAAAGCUUUGUUCACUUGAAGAAUUUUGUAUUAUUACACUUUUAAAUUUAGUCAUUAAUAAGUUAAUUACAUCUUGGAGAAAAUACUUAAAAUAUACUUUAAGAAAGUGAAACAUUUUACUUGUUCUGCCAGUGUUGCCAGAGUGGUAGAAAGUUAUUUCAGAGUAAGAAUGACUGGAAACAAAUAAAUAAACAACAACAAAAAACCACAUAAAAAAAUGAAGAAUGGGCACAAAUGACUAUACAUGUAUUUCCCUGCAAGUACCUGAAAUAAUCUUGGGAGCCUGUUAUUAUACUAGAGCUAUUUUACCGAAAAACCGAUAAAAGUAAAACCAGUGUAUGAAGACACACAAGAUGGAAGUGUCCAUUAUCAUGGCAUUUGAAAUAUAAGAUUUAUAGGUCUCCAAUGCUGCUGAAGCCGGCUGAAUAUGCUGGUUCACUGAGUUCAGGUUGUUAUGCCUAGGUUGGGGCUCACUAAAAGAUUCUAAUGCAGUAGCCUUGAUUAUGCCUUUGAUGAGCUUAGUGACUUUUGUGGCAUACUCAAUUCAUAUUUGAAGGCAAUGUUUUCCUCAAUAAAUUCAUGUCAUUAUGAAUAUCGAGGCCAUAGAAAUAAUGAUUGAUUCUUCUUUUGUGCACAAUGUGCUAUUGAUUUUUCUUUGUCAGCAUAAAUUAAUGUACCCUUUUAACUUCCCAGGACAAAACAAGCUAACUCACCUUCUUUUUUCAGUGGUGCCAUAUUAGAAUGAUGUAUAUGUACUGACAGCUUUGUUUCCUUUAGAUAUUGCUACAAUAAUUAUAUUAAAUUCCCACAAAUUACUACUAAAAGUACUUAAAUCACUAAGUUUAGUGGUCAGUGCAAUUUUAUGUAUUGAAAAUUCUGGAGAAGAUACAUGGUAAGAAUGAUAGUCUGUGUCUAACGUGUGUGUAUGUGUGUUUAAAUAUAAGGAUACAAAAUAUAUUAGGCCAAGUGAAGUUCUGAAUACUUCAUAAUAUGAAAGUUGUGCUUUAGUGGGUUUGGAAAUUGGUUUAGAGAGUUUUAAGGCAAAAAAUCAGUGGAGAUGAAUUAUUUUGCAUAGAGAGCAAGCAUCUUAAUUGUUUAAAGGUUUACUCAUAUUUUGUUUCUAACUUUUAAACAAUGUAUUCUGGUAUCAUUGAAUUAGGAAGUGUAUUCUUAAAAUUCACAAUCAUAUAAUUGAAAAGUCUUGUUAUUCUUAGACUUUUAACAAGAAAAAUUAUUUGAGUUGUUAGGUAUAUUAAGCUUUUCUUUUACAAAGGUAUACCUUUCAUGUAUUUAUUACCCAAGGGGGUGGUUUUUAUGUGUUUCCUAAUGGUCUUUCAUCAUUCUAACAUUAAACACAAGGUACUAGGGAUUCUAGAAUAAGAAUGAAAACAACAGAGUUUUUAGGACCACCUCAUUGCUGACUACUUGGAGCAGGAUUAACAGUGUGGUCUAUGUGACUGGUUACUCCUGGAGUGUCUAGUGUACAACUCACAUAAGUAUUUUAUAUCCCUGAUUGAUUUUUCAUGGAAGAUAAUAAUUUUUAUUUGUUUUUAAAUUAUUUAUAAAGUAUUAGUUCACUUUAGAGUAUGAAAGAUAUAUCAUGACAUAUAUUUCUCUUCUCCCUCUCAACUUUUGUUUUUUGAGGCACUUAUUUGUCAAGUAUAGGAUGUAAAAAUAUCCAGAAUAAAUUUCAGUUGAUGUCUUGCAUCUGAAGAUUCAUAUUUUCUCUCCAUCUUCCCCACCUUCUUUGCAUUCCCAAUACAGUGUCUCUCUUUAGGACACACAUAUUAUUACAAGGUUUAUUACCACUGUGGAGUUCCUCCCCUUUGACCUCUCUCCAGCACUUGACCCAUUCUCAACUGCUUUCUGGUGAAUUAUUUUCAUAUAUAAUUUACACUUACUCCCAACAAGCCAAACAGAUCAAAUGGAUGGUAUCCAUUCACUUUUUAAACAAUUUCUCUGGUAAAUGUAACUUCUAACACCCAUGUAAAUGUUGCAAUAUUUCUGUAAAGAGACACUGAAAGUUCAAGAGAGUAAACCUGGAAGUGCAGCAUAUUAAAUUCAGUUUGAUUACUGGCAUUUCUCUUGAUUAGAUAUAUGCUGGACUCAUAGAGGGUUUGGGGGUGCUUAUGCUACAAAUAUUAAGUAUUCCUUCCAUGAAGAAUUGUGAAAAAAAUCUUAUAGCUUCUACAUCUGAUGUCUGAGAAAUAAUACAUUAUCUAUUCACUGUAAGCAUCUGAGUAGAAUUCCAUUAGUUAUUCUUUUAUGAAAUAGCUUUGCGUUUUCUCUUUGAGAUACUUAACAAGCCUAACAUCAAUAUUUUAUUUGUUCCCUAUUCUUUUGAGAUAUUUUGUAUCAAAUUCAUUGCAAUAUUUCUAAACAUCAAAAGCAAAAUGUUAGCAUAAUAGAAGAGAAACAGAGAACACUAAGUAACCACUAAUAAAAAGAAAAUUAAUUCAUAAGCUCUCUGUAGUAGGCUUCAAAUAUUUUUGUCAAGAACUGUAGGCAAUUUUAAUAAUUCUUAAAUAUUCUUAAUAUUUAAUCAUAAUUAUAUCAAGUAUAUAGAUCUGCAUGUGCAUAUAUGAUAAUUGUUAUAAAAUCAUGUUUGUUUAGCUUGACUUCUCUCAGAUUAAUUAUCAUCUCAAUUUCUUUUAGUCCUCCCCGUUUUCUUAUACAUAUGAAGCCUCAGCCGUGAUGGCCCAUCUAUCUUUUUUGUUAAUUUACCACUGCUGAAACCUUUAUAUCCUAAUCUAACACCAUUUUCCUUAGUUCCUGAUGAGGUAAGUUCCUCAGGCUGAGUUUCAGAACUUUCACCACACCAGUUUUUCUGAAUUCUCAUACUUUAUCUGAAGUUUUCUUCCAGUUCAUUUGCCUCUUUUCUGGGGUAAAGAGGACAGGGUAAAUAUAUUUCUGUCCUCUAGACAUCAUUUUUAAACUCCUCUCACUAUACACUCUCUGGUGAAGCUUAGCAGCUCCCAUGAUUUGAUCCAAAUUUUUCCCAAAUCUGAACUUCAGCACAAAUUUCUCCUUGGUUGUAGAUGCACGUAUCCCAGUGCUCCUGGGCUUCCUUAUGUCUCACACCAAAUCAGCCAUGUAGUCCUGUACAUUCUGUCUUCUUAAAAUCUCUCCCCUCAUUCUCAUCUUCAACCUCAUUCCCUGUGCUUCAGUAAAUGACUUGAUUAUCGUGUCUGUACUAUGGCAGCGGUUCACCAGCUGCUGUCCAACUCUCCAGUCUUGUAUUCCCCUGCAUCACCCUAUAUACAUUGAAAAAUCUUUUACCAACACAAAAAUGAUCUUAUUGGUGUUUCCUUAAGUCCCUUGGUCAGUGUUCUCAUGCAGCUUAAAAUCCAAAUUGCUUUAAGGACACCACAUUUUCAUCCUCAAAUAUCUCUCCAUCCUUGCCUGUUUUUUUGACAUGGUUUAUAACCCCCACUCCAAGUAUACUGGAUCCAAAUCGUUCUGACAUAUGUAGACACUGAAAUCUUCUCCGCUGUUGAUAAAACUGGUCUAUCUCUUUUUUUUUUUCUGAAGAGAGUUCUUGCUUUUUUUCCUUCUGAUGAUAGAAAUAAACAUUUUAAAGAUUUUUGCUCUCCUAAUUAGAGCUAUAGCACAAUAUGUCAAUAUAAUCAUUAUAUUAUCUCAUAUAAAGAUUAUAAUGAUCUUCAUUUUUACUACUAAAGACUAAGGCAUAGAGAGGUUAAGCAACCUGUCCAAGGUCAAAGGCUGGGAGUGUGUCAGAGCUGAUAUCUGUAAUAAAAGCAAUGUAACUGUUAUUGCUGAAAGGCUUGUCUACAUUAAUUUGGUGCAAAGAUGUGAAGAAUUUAAAAUGAACAGCUUAACCCCCAAUGAAAUUAAUAAAGUGAAUACAAGUCAAAUGCAAGGAAUUACUGAAAGAAAUGUUUGUUAUUGUUUAUGUGGUUGUUUGGGUCUUAACUCUAGACUUACAGACUCAAAAACAACCUCGUGGCUUAAUUUAAAAUAAGUAAAGUAAUAGACUUUGUCAGAUUAGCAGUACAUAACACAGAAGUAUUUGACAGAGUGCAGAGACACAACUCUGAUAAGGAAACAAUGAAGAGUUAUUGUCUCAAUCAUCUUCUUUAUCAGAACAUAAGCUCCAAACAGAGGAUAUUGCAGACCAUACAUCACUCUCCUAGAGGGGAGUCUCCAACUAAAAUAGCCACAUGGUAUUUCUGGAACAAUUUCAGAAAUGAGAAGAGUUCUUUUGUCAUAUGGAAAAGGUAAUAGUCUGUCUUUUAUAGAAAGAAUGAUGCUGUGGCAGGCAGCACUUAUGUUUUGCCAAGCAAAUAAUGAAAUCGUGAGAGUUCACUUUUGCCUCAGUUGUACUGGUUGUCAUUUCACCUUUCCUUUUGAGAAAGAAAAGUGGCAAAAUGGUGUUUUUUUAUUUCUAUUAAGUAGUUUUGUAGAGUACAGUGAAAGAAAUCCUGAGCAAAAGAUACUUGUAAAAGAACUUUCCAUAUUUCAUAUACAUAUAAUAUUCCACUAGAAUUCAUGAUGUUUUCCUAGACCCUAUUAUAGUAGAAAAAGAUUUCUUUUUUACUUUUGGAAGAACAUGAAAUUGUAACUUUUGUGGCUUGUAAACCUCAAAAAGAAAACAAAAACAAGUAGUGCCUUUAUCCAGUAGAAAAAUUAUUUUUGUUAUAUUUGUGUAGUUCAUAGGAUGUAAAGGAUCACCAUAAUAUAUUUGACAGAAAUACAUGGCUAGAACUAUGAGUGUGAUUUUUAAAAAUUAUUGAUUACUUCUAAGCACAGGCAUUGCAGCCUUCUGGCUAGACUUGCAAUGCCCUCCUUUCAAGUCAAUACAUAACUCUCCAGAUCUACUUUCUCCUAUAAAAUGGUCAAUGUACUGUUGAGUAGAUUCAGUUUUGAAGAGAGAGAGGCAGUACAGCAUUUCAAUUGGAAUUCUUUUGACUGGAGGGUUGGGUGAUUAAGCUGGUCACUUGUGGAAAUAUAUUGAUUUCAUGAUAUAUUUUCAGGAACCUAUUUUUCUUUUCUGAAACUCUGUGUCAUGAUGUGCUAUUUAGAAUUUCUUCUCUUCCCAGAGGGACAUGGUAUAGCUUUCAUCAGCUGCAAUGAAGGUACCACAAUGAAAAAAAGGAAUAUGGUGUCAUUGUAAAUGCACAAAUAUGAAUUUGUGUUUUCCUUGGUUGUUUAAGGGGUAUAAAGUAAACAUUUUAUCUUAUGCAUUUACAUACUACGAAGAAAAGAAUACUAUGAUGUAUUAAAUUUUUAACUUACAGAUAACAUAAUAAAAUGUAUAAAAUACUUAGCUUUGUACCUAGCGUAGAAUGUUGCUUACAUUAUAGAUUAGAUUUUUUCCUUUUAUGCUAGAUUUCUUUGCUACA